rnacentral:rRNA from 1 species
UUUCCGGUUGAUCCUGCCGGACCUGACUGCUAUCGGAUUGAUACUAAGCCAUGCGAGUCUUUGCAGUAAUGCAAGGCAUACGGCUCAGUAACACGUAGUCAACUUACCCUAUGGACGAGGAUAAUCUCGGGAAACUGAGCAUAAUACUCGAUAGAUCAUAAUGCCUGGAAUGGUUUAUGGUUGAAAUGAUUCGUCGCCAUAGGAUGGGACUGCGGCCUAUCAGCUUGUUGGUGAGGUAAUGGCCCACCAAGGCGAUUACAGGUACGGGCUCUGAGAGGAGAAGCCCGGAGAUGGGUACUGAGACAAGGACCCAGGCCCUAUGGGGCGCAGCAGGCGAGAAAACUUUGCAAUGUGCGAAAGCACGACAAGGUUAAUCCGAGUGAUUUCUGCUAAAAAAAUCUUUUGCAAGUCAUAAAACCACUAGUGAAUAAGGGGUGGGCAAGUUCUGGUGUCAGCCGCCGCGGUAAAACCAGCACCUCAAGUGGUCAGGAGGAUUAUUGGGCCUAAAGCAUCCGUAGCCGGCUCUGUAAGUUUUCGGUUAAAUCCAUGUGCUCAACGCAUGGGCUGCCGAAAAUACUGCAUAGCUAGGGAGUGGGAGAGGUAGACGGUACUCGGUAGGAAGGGGUAAAAUCCUUUGAUCUAUCGAUGACCACCUGUGGCGAAGGCGGUCUACCAGAACACGUUCGACGGUGAGGGAUGAAAGCUGGGGGAGCAAACCGGAUUAGAUACCCGGGUAGUCCCAGCUGUAAACGAUGCGGACUCGAUGAUGCAUUGGCAUAUAGCCAGUGCAGUGUCGCAGGGAAGCCGUUAAGUCUGCCGCCUGGGAAGUACGUACGCAAGUAUGAAACUUAAAGGAAUUGGCGGGGGAGCACCACAAGGGGUGAAGCCUGCGGUUCAAUUGGAGUCAACGCCGGG